UUUGCUACACCUGCCACUGGCCCAACAGUCUCGCUCCCAUGAGAGGCAAAGCCAGUGCGUAGAAAAUGCAUUGAAUGGAUCUCUGAAGCUCUUGGAUUUGUGCGACUCCACAAGAGACUUUUUCUCAGAUAUGAAGGAAUGUGUGCAGAGGCUUCAAUUAUCUCUCCGCAGAAGAAAAGGCGGAGAGUCUGGCUUGACAGGUGAAGUUGAC
rnacentral:misc_RNA from 1 species